AGGACGAACGCUGGCGGCGCGCCUAACACAUGCAAGUCGAGCGAGAACCGGGGCUUCGGUCCCGGGGACAGCGGCGAACGGGUGCGUAACACGUGAGCAACCUGCCCCGAAGACCGGGACAACCCGAGGAAACUCGGACUAAUACCGGAUGUCCUCACCGGAUCGCAUGGUCUGGUGAGGAAAUGGAUUCCGCUUCGGGAUGGGCUCGCGGUCUAUCAGCUUGUUGGUGGGGUAACGCCUACCAAGGCGACGACGGAUAGCUGGUCUGAGAGGACGAUCAGCCACACUGGGACUGAGACACGGCCCAGACUCCUACGGGAGGCAGCAGUGGGGAAUCUUGCGCAAUGGGGGAAACCCUGACGCAGCGACGCCGCGUGCGGGAUGAAGGCCUUCGGGUUGUAAACCGCUUUCAGCAGGGACGAAAUUGACGGUACCUGCAGAAGAAGGCCCGGCAACUACGUGCCAGCAGCCGC
rnacentral:rRNA from 1 species